GACGAACGCUGGCGGCGUGCUUAACACAUGCAAGUCGUACGGUAAGGCCCUUUCGGGGGUACACGAGUGGCGAACGGGUGAGUAACACGUGAGUAACCUGCCCACAACUUUGGGAUAACGCUAGGAAACUGGUGCUAAUACUGGAUAUGUGCUCCUGCUGCAUGGUGGGGGUUGGAAAGCUCCGGCGGUUGUGGGUGGACUCGCGGCCUAUCAGCUUGUUGGUGGGGUAGUGGCCUACCAAGGCGGCGACGGGUAGCCGGCCUGAGAGGGUGACCGGCCACAUUGGGACUGAGAUACGGCCCAGACUCCUACGGGAGGCAGCAGGGGGGAAUAUUGCACAAUGGGCGCAAGCCUGAUGCAGCAAGGCCGCGUGCGGGAUGACGGCCUUCGGGUUGUAAAACGCUUUCAGCAGGGACGAAGCUUUUUGUGACGGUACCUGCAGAAGAAGCACCGGCUAACUACGUG
rnacentral:rRNA from 1 species